rnacentral:rRNA from 1 species
UGAGGAAUAUUGGUCAAUGGGCGGUAGCCUGAACCAGCCAAGCCGCGUGAGGGAAGACGGCACUACGUGUUGUAAACCUCUUUUGCCGGGGAACAAAAGCGGGGACGCGUCCCCGUCUGCGUGUACCCGGAGAAAAAGCAUCGGCUAACUCCGUGCCAGCAGCCGCGGUAAUACGGAGGAUGCGAGCGUUAUCCGGAUUUAUUGGGUUUAAAGGGUGCGUAGGCGGUUCCUUAAGUAAGCGGUAAAAUCGCGGGGCUCAACCCCGCCGAGCCGUUUAGACUGGGGGACUUGAGACGGCGAGAAGUACGCGGAAUGCGCGGUGUAGCGGUGAAAUGCAUAGAUAUCGCGCAGAACUCCGAUUGCGAAGGCAGCGUACCGGCGCCGUUCUGACGCUGAGGCACGAAAGCGUGGGGAUCGAACAGG